rnacentral:rRNA from 1 species
AAGGGAUUGCCCUAGUACGGCGAGUGAAGCGGCAACAGCUCAAAUUUGAAAGCUAGCCUUCGGGUUCGCAUUGUAAUUUGUAGAGGAUGAUUUGGGGAAGCCGCCUGUCUAAGUUCCUUGGAACAGGACGUCAUAGAGGGUGAGAAUCCCGUAUGUGACAGGAAAUGGCACCCUAUGUAAAUCUCCUUCGACGAGUCGAGUUGUUUGGGAAUGCAGCUCUAAAUGGGAGGUAAAUUUCUUCUAAAGCUAAAUAUUGGCGAGAGACCGAUAGCGCACAAGUAGAGUGAUCGAAAGAUGAAAAGCACUUUGGAAAGAGAGUUAAAAAGCACGUGAAAUUGUUGAAAGGGAAGCGCUUGCAAUCAGACUUGUUUAAACUGUUCGGCCGGUCUUCUGACCGGUUUACUCAGUUUGGACAGGCCAGCAUCAGUUUCGGCGGCCGGAUAAAGGCUCUGGGAAUGUGGCCUCCACUUCGGUGGAGGUGUUAUAGCCCAGGGUGUAAUACGGCCAGCCGGGACUGAGGUCCGCGCUUCGGCUAGGAUGCUGGCGUAAUGGUUGUAAGCGACCCGUCUUGAAACACGGACCAA